AGACUUUGAUCCUGGCUCAGAACGAACGCUGGCGGCNCGUUUUAAGCAUGCAAGUCGAACGGUAGAAAGGCUUCGGUCUUUUGAGAGUGGCGAACGGGUGAGUAACACGUAGGUGAUCUACCUUGAGGUUGGGGAUAGCCCAUGGAAACAUGGGGUAAUACCGAAUACGACCUGGAGUCGAAUCCAGGUGAAAGGAGCUAUGGCUCCGCCUUGAAGAUGAGCCUGCGGCUGAUUAGGUAGUUGGUGGGGUAAUGGCCUACCAAGCCGACGAUCAGUAGCCGGCCUGAGAGGGUGAACGGCCACACUGGGACUGAGACACGGCCCAGACUCCUACGGGAGGCAGCAGCUAAGAAUCUUCCGCAAUGGGCGAAAGCCUGACGGAGCGACGCCGCGUGAACGAAGAAGCCGGAAGGUUGUAAAGUUCUUUUCUUGGGGAGGAAUAANCAUCGGAGGGAAUGCCGGUGUGAUGACCUGAACCAAGGAAUAACCCCCGCUUAUUUCGUGCCACAACCCGCGGUACACCGGAAGGGCAAGCGUUGUUCGGAAUUAU
rnacentral:rRNA from 1 species